CUCCUGCCCUGCCCCCCCAAACGCCCGGGGCCCCAACACGCGCUGCGAGUGUGCGCAGCUGCCCCAAGUGCUUCAGCGUCCUGGAGGACGUGUGGGCCCUGUACCGCGCCUGCCGCAGCGAGGAGCUCAUCACCUCCGUGCAGGCCUUCCUCGGCCGGUACCACCGGGCCUUCUCGGCCUGCGACCCCGCCGGCGGCGAGCUGCCCGCGGGCGGCCCCGCGUCCGCCUGCUACGUCUGCGGGGCCGAGCUGGGCCCCGGGAGGGAGUUUCAGCUCAACGUGAACCCCUCCGGCCGCCUGGGCGAGAAGGAGCCCUUCUUCCCCUUUCUGACCGUCUACCCGCCCGCCCCGCGCGCCAGGCCCGCCGAUGCCACCGGCCUGGUAGCCGCCUGCGCGCUCUGCUACCACGACCUGCUGGGCCAGUGGCUGCGGCACGAGGCCCGGGGCGCCCACGCCGCCGUCAGCGCCUGGUCGCGGCAGUACCACGUGGACACGUUCGUGUGCUUCUUCUGCCAGCAGGAGAAGAGGCGCCGCCUCGGGCUGAGGGCCGUGCGCGUGGCCCGGCUGCCCCUCUUUCUCCACGCCCUGCGCGCCAGCCACAGCCUGCUGGUGGACGACGGGCGGCAGUUGACCAUUGGUGCCUGCGUGGAGUGCGGGACCCUGGUGUGUGCCGGCCAAGGGCCGAACCGCCAGGGACCCGUCGGCUGGAGCUCCCCGGCGGCAGCGGCGACGAAGGCCACCUCGGCAUCUCUGGAGGCGUCCGCAGCCGUCCCCCCUCCCACCCGGGAGCCCGAGUCCCGGCCGGGCGCCCCAGGAGAGGGCCUGUCCAGAGCCCCCAGGACCGUCCAGGAGCAGGGGCCAGCGCAGUGCCAGAGGAGCAGCGACGGGGACGGACCGGAGCACCUGGGCCCAGGUAGACGCCAGCGCUCUCCCUACCUGGGAGCGGGGGUGGGACCACGCGGCCCGAGCUUGGCCCCGGCGCUGCCACGUUCCAGGAAGGAGGCCGGCACCGCCGCCUCCCCCGCCCCGGGCCUGGCUUCUGUUCCCUGAUCCUCAGGGGCCCGAGCUGUGGCUUAACCCACUUCCCCGCUCACCGCGCCGCUCGCGCCUGCUUCGCGGAUGGGCUUGGCUUGUGGCUUGUGCCAACGUUCCGCCGCGUUCGUGGUUAAACCAAGGGAAUGAACCCUCGCGGACCCACUGCCCGACCCAAGAACUCAAACCUCACGCCGUCCCUGUUGCCCCUGGAGGCAGCCCCUUCUUCAGUUUGCUUUAAAAAUAAAAGGUCGAUCACGCCCAUGUCAGCCUAAA
rnacentral:lncRNA from 1 species